UUGGCCCUGAAUCAAGGGUAGCAGUUUGUUGUAGCUGCUGGUUUUAAACAAGGGCCUAAAAAGAAGUCUUUCUAGAGUCUGUUGGCCAUUUCAGAACUUUGGAAAUGUAACAGUCAAUUCAUUAGAAAGCAAUUAGA
ensembl:snoRNA small nucleolar RNA SNORA2/SNORA34 family